rnacentral:lncRNA from 1 species
CUAUAAGUGUGUGUUCCCAUGAGUUAUUUCUAAGAAAUGGCACUGUACACUGAAAGCAGUGGCUCACUUCUGUCAUCCCAGCACUUUGGGAGGCCGCUGUGGGUGGGUCACGAGGUCAGGAGUUCAAGACCAGCGUAGCCGACAUGGUGAAACCGACUCAGUUUCGUAUUUUCAAUCUCUACUGAAAAUACUAAACUGAGUCAGGCGCGGUGGCGCAGGCACCUGUAAUCCCAGCUACUCGAGAGGUUGAGGCGGAAGAAUCGCUUGAACCUGGCAGGCAGAGGUUUCAGUGACCCAGGAUGGUGCCACUGCACUAAGCUUGGUCGACAGAGUGAGACUUGGUCUCGAAAUAAAUAAAUGAAAUAAAGAAAGAAAGAAAGAAAGAGAAAAGAAAAGAAGAAAGGAGAAAAGAAAAGAAAAAAAGAAAAAGAAAAGAAAGAAAAGAAAAGAAAAGAAAAGAAAAAAGAAAAAAGAAAAGGAAACCAGAAAAGAAAGAUAAAAUGAAAGAAAAGGCACUGUAUCGCUACUGGGCUAGGACCUUCUCUCUUUCUGUCUCUUUCUCUCUGUCUCUCUCUGUCUGUGUCUGUUUCUCUCUGUCUCUCUCUGUUUUUCUCUGUCUCGCUGUCUCUAUUUCUUUUUCUGAGUCUGUCUGUCUCUCUCGCUCUCUUUCUCUCUGUCUCUCUCUCUGUGCCUAUCUUCUUACUCUCUUUCUCUACCCGUCUGUCUCUCUCUGUCCCUCUCCCUCCAUUUCUGUCUCUCUCUCUCACUCUCUCUGUCUGUCUCUCUUUCUGUCUGUUUCUCUCUGUCUCUCUCUCUCCAUGUCUGUCUGUCUCUUUCUUUCUCUCUGCCUCUGUCUGUCUCUCUCUGCCUGUCUCUCUCACUGUGUCUGUCUUCUGUCUUACUGUCUUUCUCUGCCUGUCUCUCUCUCUCUCUCCCUCCCUGCCUUUCUGUUUCUCUCUCUCUCUUUCUGUCUGUUUCUCUCUGUCUCUGUCUCUCUCUCUCUGCCUGUCUCUCUCACUGUGUCUGUCUUCUGUCUUACUCUCUUUCUCCGCCAGCCUAUCUGUCUGUCUGUCUCUCUCUUUCUGUCUUUCUCUCUUUGUGUAUCUUUGUGUCUCUCUGUCUGUCUCUCUCUGUCUCUGUCUUUGUCUCUCUCUCUCUCUCUGUGUCUCUCGCCCGCUCUCUGGCUCUCGCUAUCUCCUACCCUCUCUUUCUUUGCAAAAUAAGUUCAAGCACAUCU